rnacentral:rRNA from 1 species
AUGGGCGCCACGCCGCUCGCUCUCCCGCCCGCGAACUGGAAGAGAUCGGCCGAGGGGACCUCGGAGCCUGCGGCCGUCGACGCCACGUGCGUUCCGUGCCCAGCGAUGUCCCUCGGGCUCGGAUCGGUUAGGAGGCCACCGCCCUCUAGCUCGACCGUGAGGAAGGACUUGGCGCCGACGAGCUUGUUGUUGCACAAGCUGGCGUUGAAUCCCGGGGCGUCCACGCACUUGCCCCUCCAGGUGGACCUGACGGGGCCGAGCCCGGCGUCGUUGAAGCUGGCGCGCUCUGGCCAGAUGCCGGUGUCGACGAAGCCGAUGAUGACGCCGUCGCCGAACUCCGCGUCCGGCCACGCGCCGAAGUCGUCGUAG